rnacentral:rRNA from 1 species
AUUGAACGCUGGCGGCAUGCUUUACACAUGCAAGUCGAACGGUAACAGGGUGCUUGCACCGCUGACGAGUGGCGAACGGGUGAGUAAUGCGUCGGAACGUGCCGAGUAGUGGGGGAUAACGCAGCGAAAGUUGUGCUAAUACCGCAUACGUACUGAGGUAGAAAGUGGGGGACCUUCGGGCCUCACGCUAUUCGAGCGGCCGACGUCUGAUUAGCUAGUAGGUGAGGUAAAGGCUCACCUAGGCGACGAUCAGUAGCGGGUCUGAGAGGAUGAGCCGCCACACUGGGACUGAGACACGGCCCAGACUCCUACGGGAGGCAGCAGUGGGGAAUUUUGGACAAUGGGCGAAAGCCUGAUCCAGCCAUGCCGCAUGUCUGAAGAAGGCCUUCGGGUUGUAAAGGACUUUUGUCGGGGAGGAAAUCCCCAGCGCUAAUACCGCUGGGGGAUGACAGUACCUGAAGAAUAAGCACCGGCUAACUACGUGCCAGCCGCCGCCGUAA